GUGGGGAAUCUUGCGCAAUGGGCGAAAGCCUGACGCAGCCAUGCCGCGUGAAUGAUGAAGGUCUUAGGAUUGUAAAAUUCUUUCACCGGGGACGAUAAUGACGGUACCCGGAGAAGAAGCCCCGGCUAACUUCGUGCCAGCAGCCGCGGUAAUACGAAGGGGGCUAGCGUUGCUCGGAAUUACUGGGCGUAAAGGGCGCGUAGGCGGACAGUUUAGUCAGAGGUGAAAGCCCAGGGCUCAACCUUGGAAUUGCCUUUGAUACUGGCUGUCUUGAGUACGGGAGAGGUGAGGGGAACUCCGAGUGUAGAGGUGAAAUUCGUAGAUAUUCGGAAGAACACCAGUGGCGAAGGCGACUCACUGGCCCGUUACUGACGCUGAGGCACGAAAGCGUGGGGAUCGAACAGGAUUAGAAACCCCAGUAGUCC
rnacentral:rRNA from 1 species